rnacentral:pre_miRNA from 1 species
AUACUCCCUCCAUCCCAAAAUAAGUGCAGUUCUGCACUAUUCACGUUCAACGUUUGACCGUUCGUUUUAUUUGAAAACUUUUUAUGAUUAGUAUUUUUAUUACUAUUAGAUGAUAAAUAUUUUAUGUGUGACUAAAUACUUUCAAAUUUUUCACAAAUUAUUCAAAUAAGACGGACGAUCAAACGUUGGGCACGGAUAUUCAUGGCUGCACUUAUUUUGGGACGGAUGUA